UAGGGAAUCUUCCGCAAUGGGCGAAAGCCUGACGGAGCAACGCCGCGUGAGUGAUGAAGGUCUUCGGAUCGUAAAACUCUGUUAUUAGGGAAGAACAACUGUGUAAGUAACUAUGCACGUCUUGACGGUACCUAAUCAGAAAGCCACGGCUAACUACGUGCCAGCAGCCGCGGUAAUACGUAGGUGGCAAGCGUUAUCCGGAAUUAUUGGGCGUAAAGCGCGCGUAGGCGGUUUUUUAAGUCUGAUGUGAAAGCCCACGGCUCAACCGUGGAGGGUCAUUGGAAACUGGAAAACUUGAGUGCAGAAGAGGAAAGUGGAAUUCCAUGUGUAGCGGUGAAAUGCGCAGAGAUAUGGAGGAACACCAGUGGCGAAGGCGACUUUCUGGUCUGUAACUGACGCUGAUGUGCGAAAGCGUGGGGAUCAAACAGG
rnacentral:rRNA from 1 species